CAAAGUCGCGGGCUUAUCAUUAACUAGCGUAACAGCUAGUUAAUGAUAAGCCAUUUGCGAAAAAAUAAAGAUAAGUGAACCUUUUGUCACGCACUUUCAGCUAGUAAUAAUAGCAAUCAGCGGCGCCCGCAGGCUAUAAAAGGGAGCACAAGCUAUUAAAAAAAAGCUUUGUACUGUACGUUAUUCAAACUCUACGAUUCAACGUCACAUCACGCUGCCACAAGGUGGCACUGGUAGCAUUCGGGUUAAAUUGGCUUUGAAAACAAGGGCUAACUUGUGGUUUCGGUCAACAUGUAAAGAAGUUGAAUGGGACAACGGACAAAUAUCGUUAUUAGUCUCUCUUAAAUUUUUCAGAAUAGAAGUCAUGAAUUUUCUGUUUUGUGUCCCCUUGGAUAUUAGGAAAAGGGCAGCCGAGAUACAAUAGUUUUUAAUUUUACAUUAUAUUUUAGCGUUAGCAAUUAUUUGCAUAUACAGUAUACCAUUUUUAGUUAUUUUACUUAUUUUCAAAUAGUUGAGACCCGACUAGAUAUUAUUUAACAAGGUUCUAUAUUAUCCGAGAUGAAUUGAAGACGGGUAAUUGUUGUCAAAGAACGUAGUACAGAGAAGUUCCCUUUAUGAAUCGUGGCCGACAAUUGCACGGUAUUUGAAAGGAGAUCUAAGUUUAUAAAAAGAAUUUACUCUAAUUACUUACGAUAGUACGGCUUAAAUUAUACAUUAAAAUUCAUUUGUUCAAUAAGUAGCUCUAAUUUGAAAAUAUGCUACGGUUCAUUGUACGGGUUAAUUUUGAUAAAUUAAUCAGUUAAUGUUUCGUUUUUAUCCAAGUAACCUAUGGUUCACAUUACCUCAGCUAAUCGAGAAUCUAUUUAAUCGUCUUACAGACAUUCAUUUUUGGAAUAAGUAAAUAUGUAAAUCAUUUAAGUGACAUUGUGCCUAUGUUAUGUCAUGAUUUACACAUGAAUAUUUUCUGUGGUGUUUUAUGGAGAACACUUGAAAGUUUAAUUAAUUCAUUUAGGUUGUUAGUAGUUCAUUCUUUAGUAUUUUUAAAAUUACUUAUAAAAGCAAAUAAUAUACACUUAUUUAUAUAUAUUCAUGAUUUUGCAACGUAGAAGGUUAUAAUUAUAAUAAUAAUUAUUAUUAUAAUUAUACUAAUUAUUAUUAUUGUUAUUAUUUUAUUGUCGAAUGGACUCGUACAUCAAUAGUUUUUUGCAAGCCUAUACUAGAAAUUUGCUGCUUGCACGCAUUUCAUUUAAUGAGAAUACAGUAACUAAAUGCAAAACGCCGGCUUGUAAUAUAAAGUGGAAUGAAUCCUCGAUAAUGAAAAGUGGAAAAAUAGUGUACUUUGCUAUUAAUAGAAAACAACAGACAAUGGAAAAUUUAAGAAGGAAACUGUAAACAAUCUGUUGUAUAAAUUUGAAAGCAGUUAUGAAUAUCGGAGGUGUGAAAGAAAAUUUAAGAAAGUUUUGUAAAAGAUCACAGCAUGUUUCCUUAUGAAAAAUUUAAGAAGAGUAAACUGAUUAUUCAUGAUUUGGGAUGAAAAUGUUUACUGUUUAUAAUGACGUUAGAAGCUUCAAAAAUAACAUCAAGAAGCAUUAAGAAUGACAUGAAGAUGUUCUCGGAAGAGACUAUUAAUCAGGAAAUUUUGAAAAUAUGCUGUGUUUCCAAUCAAGAUCCAACUUUACUCGACCGAUUGGAUGGAUGGAUUCUUAAGCUCUGUUUGCGGACGAAGGAGAACAUCUACUCUAUAUUUAACGCAGCAACGAAGGCGACCUGUCUGUCCUUAUUGUUUGAAAUCUUUUUACGA